UACGGAGGAUCCGAGCGUUAUCCGGAUUUAUUGGGUUUAAAGGGUGCGUAGGCGGCCCUGUAAGUCAGUGCUGAAAUACCCCGGCUUAACCGGGGGGGUGGCAUUGAUACUGCAGGGCUUGAGUACAGAUGAGGUAGGCGGAAUUGACGGUGUAGCGGUGAAAUGCAUAGAUAUCGUCAAGAACACCGAUAGCGAAGGCAGCUUACUGGGCUGUAACUGACGCCGAUGCACGAAAGUGUGGGGAUCAAACAGG
rnacentral:rRNA from 1 species